GGCAGCANUGGGGAAUAUUGCACAAUGGGCGCAAGCCUGAUGCAGCCAUGCCGCGUGUGUGAAGAAGGCCUUCGGGUUGUAAAGCACUUUCAGCGAGGAGGAAGGGUUCNGUGUUAAUAGCACNGUUCAUUGACGUUACUCGCAGAAGAAGCACCGGCUAACUCCGUGCCAGCAGCCGCGGUAAUACGGAGGGUGCAAGCGUUAAUCGGAAUUACUGGGCGUAAAGCGCACGCAGGCGGUUUGUUAAGUCAGAUGUGAAAUCCCCGAGCUUAACUUGGGAACUGCAUUUGAAACUGGCAAGCUAGAGUCUUGUAGAGGGGGGUAGAAUUCCAGGUGUAGCGGUGAAAUGCGUANAGAUCUGGAGGAAUACCGGUGGCNAAGGCGGCCCCCUGGACAAAGACUGACGCUCAGGUGCGAAAGCGUGGGGAGCAAACAGGAUUANAUACCCUGGUA
rnacentral:rRNA from 1 species